rnacentral:RNase_P_RNA from 1 species
CAGAGAAGACGAAAUGUCUGCUUCGUCUUGAGGCGAAGAGGAAAGUCCGAACACCGCAGGGCAGGAUACUUUCUAACGGAAAGUCGCAGCGAUGCGGAGAAAGUGCCGCAGAAAUUAUACCGCCCGAAUUAUUUCGGGUAAGGGUGAAAAGGCAGUGUAAGAGACUACCGGUUUCGAUGUGAGUCGAAAUGCAAGGUAAACCUUAUCCGGUGCAAUGCCAAAUAGGAAAGUCGUUUGCUUCGGCAAAGAGGAUCUGCCCGAUCCUGAGACUUUCGGGUGGGCAGCUUAAGUCGUCCUUAAAAGGUUCCUUUUGAGAAACAGCAAUGUACGACUGAGAUAAAUAGACAUUACUUUACUUCUUAGGUAAAGGACAAAAUUCGGCUUACCGUCUUCUCUGUAAC